CCGGAAGUGGUGUUGCGGAGGGAACUGUGGGGAGAGCAGAGGGGCAGCUCUGCUGGAGAGACCUGAGGCUUGCAUCGCUGGGCCCGGCCGGGUCGCUGCGGCUGGGCUGGAGGUGAGGCGAAAGAAGGGCAUCCUCUGAUGGGAGUGGACCGGAGUCCGCUAAAGCGAAGCAUUCCAGGGUUCGUUGCGGGAAAUACAGUCUGGUUUUGCCCCCCGUAUGAAUUGAGGGAAGGUCAAGGAUGCAUUCCAGGAAAGUUCUAUAAAAAUAUACCAUCAACUCCAACCUGAUAUUUGACCUAGCCAUGGAAAACCUCAUUGGCUCCUCACUGGAUCAGACCAUAAAAAUGAUCCAGGAAUGAAAAUCUAAGAUAAAUUCCCACCACUUCAAGAUGUUCUUAUACAAGUCAACAGUCUAGCAGAUCAGCCAGUCUCUUUCAUCAUCAAGCAGACAUACUCAAGGUACCAACACAGCAAAGGCACAAAAUGUCUCUAUAUCAGUAUUUUUCAUGGUAUAUGUGAGACCCAUUAGUGAGGCAUGAAAUCAAUUCUGUGAGUCACAAUGAACAUUUUUCUAAAAAACAAAAUAAAAUGUAAAAUACCAAAGUGUUUUGCAUGAAUCCUUUGCCUGAAUUGUGCACACUGCAAGGAAUGCUGAGGUCAAUUUCAAUAUGCGAGAGGGGUAUUUGAUGGAGGAGAUACGAUGAAUAGAAUGUAUAUUGGCUAAGAAAUGGUUUUCAGUCGUUGAUUCCUGGGUGUCUUGCUUGAUUUUCAUAAUAGCAAGGUUAAUGUUCUAUAGUCAAGUUUUAUAUUACAAUUACUUGCAACUAGUUGUGAAGUCUGAAAUAUUCGAUUCAAUUGCAAACUUUGAGUGUAGUUUUUGAAAAGAUGUUAUUUAGACUGUAUAUUUUUUUCUUCUUUUUUGAGUUAGUGCCAAUUAUAACAUUUUAAUCAAACUGGAACAAAUUGCUAUUAAAAUGGAUCAUUUCUUUAUUAAAAGAAAGAGGAAUAGUGAAGUGAAAUACACAGAAGCAUGUUCAAGUUCAUCUGUUGAAUCUGGAAUUGUGAAUAGUGACAAUAUUGAGAAAAAUACUGACUCCAAUCUGCAAACUUCAACUUCAUUUGAGCCACAUUUCAAAAAGAAAAAAGUAAGUGCAAGACGUUAUAAUGAAGAUUACUUAAAAUAUGGCUUUAUCAAAUGUGAAAAACCCUUUGAAAAUGACAGACCUCAGUGUGUUAUUUGUAAUAAUAUUCUUGCGAAUGAAAGCUUAAAACCUUCGAAAUUAAAAAGGCACUUAGAAACUCAGCAUGCUGAACUUAUUGAUAAGCCUCUUGAAUAUUUUCAAAGAAAGAAAAAAGACAUAAAGUUAUCAACACAAUUUCUUAGUUGUUCUACUGCUGUUAGUGAGAAAGCCUUAUUAUCAUCAUAUUUAGUUGCAUAUCGUGUGGCAAAAGAGAAAAUAGCUAACACAGCUGCUGAAAAAAUUAUUCUUCCAGCAUGUUUGGAUAUGGUGCGUACAAUAUUUGAUGAUAAAUCAGCUGAUAAAUUAAAAACUAUACCUAAUGAUAACACAGUAUCUCUUCGAAUUUGUACUAUUGCAGAACAUUUAGAAACAAUGCUUAUUACUCGUUUACAGUCUGGUAUAGAUUUUGCAAUCCAGCUUGAUGAAAGCACUGAUAUUGGAAGCUGCACAACACUUUUAGUUUAUGUCAGAUAUGCGUGGCAAGAUGAUUUUUUGGAGGAUUUUUUGUGUUUUUUAAAUUUAACCUCACACCUAAGUGGUUUAGAUAUUUUUACAGAAUUAGAAAGGCACAUAGUUGGCCAAUAUAAAUUAAACUGGAAAAACUGUAAAGGAAUUACAAGUGAUGGCACAGCAACCAUGACUGGAAAACAUAGCAGAGUAAUUAAAAAAUUACUAGAAGUUACUAAUAAUGGUGCUGUGUGGAAUCAUUGUUUUAUACAUCGUGAAGGUUUAGCAUCCAGAGAAAUUCCACAGAAUCUCAUGGAAGUAUUGAAAAAUGCAGUGAAAGUUGUUAAUUUUAUUAAAGGAAGCUCAUUGAAUAGCCGGCUUCUUGAAACAUUUUGUUCAGAGAUUGGAACUAAUCAUACCCACUUACUAUAUCAUACCAAAAUUCGUUGGUUGUCUCAAGGGAAAAUACUAAGCAGGGUUUAUGAGCUCAGGAAUGAGAUUCACUUUUUUCUCAUUGAAAAAAAAUCUCAUUUGGCAAGUAUUUUUGAAGAUGAUACUUGGGUAACAAAAUUGGCAUAUUUAACUGAUAUUUUUAGCAUUCUUAAUGAACUGAGUUUAAAACUACAGGGGAAAAACAGUGAUGUAUUCCAACAUGUUGAACAUAUCCAGGGAUUUCGAAAGACAUUAUUGUUAUGGCAAGUAAGACUUAAAAGUAAUCGUCCUAGCUAUUACAUGUUUCCAAGAUUUUUGCAGCAUAUUGAAGAGAAUAUUAUUAAUGAAAACAUUUUGAAAGAAAUAAAAUUAGAGAUAUUGUUGCAUCUCACUUCUCUGUCUCAAACUUUUAACCAUUUCUUUCCAGAAGAAAAAUUUGAAACAUUAAGGGAAAACAGUUGGGUAAAAGAUCCAUUUGCUUUUCGAAACCCUGAAUCAAUAAUUGAGCUAAACUUGGUGCCUGAAGAAGAGAAUGAAUUAUUGCAGCUUAGUUCUUCAUAUACAUUGAAGAAUGAUUAUGAAACCUUAAGUUUAUCAGCAUUUUGGAUGAAGGUAAAGGAAGACUUUCCAUUGUUAAGUAGAAAGAGUGUCCUGCUAUUGCUACCAUUCACAACAACUAGUUUGUGUGAACUAGGGUUUUCCAUCUUAACGCAGUUAAAAACAAAGGAAAGAAAUGGGCUGAAUUGUGCAGCAGCUAUGCGGGUAGCAUUAUCUUCCUGUGUUCCAGACUGGAAUGAACUUAUGAACAGGCAAGCACACCCAUCAUAGUAAAUAAAAAUCUUACCUAGCUUUUGUCUUUGUAUUUCUUAUUUUGUAGUAUUUUUCUAUGUUAUAUUUAAAUGGUACUAUAAUAUUGUGAUACUUUUGUUAUGUUUUAAUUUUUGUUAUAUUUAAUAAAAUUAUUUUAUGUUCAUUGAACAAAAAUUUAAUGAAUUUCUGUUAGAGGCCAGGAACUAUUCCAGAGACAUUUGGGAUACAAAAGUGAACAAAACAGAUAAUUCCCUAGUAGAGUUUAUAUCCUGGCAAGGAGAAAUUGACAAUAAACCUAAUAAAUAAGGUUUAUAAUAUUUAGAAGCUAUUAAGUGCUAUGGAAAGAGUAGUAAGAAGGAAGGUCAGGGAAGUACUGGGGAACCAAAGCCUGAAGGGUUCUGUAGACCAUUAUUGGGCCUCUGGCUUUUGUCAGUGGACUAGAGAACAGUUGAAGGGUUUAAGCAAAGGAGAGAAAUGAUCUGAGCUAGGUUUUAAAAGACACUCUGGUCACUAUUUUAAAUUCUUAGGGUAAGUCUGAAUUAAAUGUUACUUUCCCCUCACUGGGCAUGGUGGCUCAGACCUGUAAUCCCCACACUUUGGCAGGCCAUGGCAGAAGGAUCUGUUGAGCCCAGGAGUUCAAGACCGUCCUGGGCAACAUAGUGAGACCUUAUUUCUACUAAAAAUACUUUUAAAAUAAGUCAGGUGUGGUGGUGCACACCUGUAGUCCCAGCUACUCAGGAGGCUGUGGCAGGAGGGUCGCUUGACCUCAGGAGUUUGAAGUUGCAGUCAUCUAUGAUUGAUUGCACCACUGCAGUCCAGCCUGAGCAACAGAGUGAAACCCUGUCUCGAAAAAAUUAAAUGUUACUUACCUAAAAAAACCUUUUCUAACCACCCUAGGGUAAAUCCUCCAUUAUUCCUUUAUUUCUUUGUUUUCCUUGUAGUAUAUAAUUUGUAAUAAUUUUGAUUACUGAUUGUCAUUCUGCCACCCUGGAGUAUAUAAUUUUUAAUUAUCUGAUUACUGUUAUUCUUCUAGUAGGGGAGGUGAUAUCCAUUUGCCUGAUACAUAGUAUGUGUUCAAUACACAUUUGCUAAAGAAUAAAUGAAUCAAUAAUACCUAACAUCUCUAAUUUGCAGUCAUUCCCAAGAGUAAUUAUUAAAUAUGUGGCAAAUUUCUUUGCCUUUUUUACUUUUAAAAAUCUAAUUUUGACAUAACUGCUGUAACCAUCCAGAAACGGCAUUGAUGUUGCUUCACGUUGUUGCUGAUGCUUAAGCAAUGUAUAUUGUGUAAUAUACAAUAUAGUCUUCAAACUAAUUUCAACUUCUGCCUUUCUGUGUACUCCCUUAUCCCACUGGGUGAUAUUAUUUGGCAUGGUCAUUCUCAUUAAAAUCAUACAGGAUAGUAAUUCCUUUCCAUCUGCUACCAUGCCUAGCCUUAUUUAAUUUUUCAGAUAUUCUAUUCUAUUGAAGGUAAUUGAUUUUUUCUUUUUUUUUAAUGCUUGAAAUAAAGUGUUGAAAAAC
rnacentral:lncRNA from 1 species